CCUACGGGUGGCAGCAGUGGGGAAUAUUGCACAAUGGGGGCAACCCUGAUGCAGCGACGCCGCGUGAGUGAAGAAGUAUUUCGGUAUGUAAAGCUCUGUCAGCAGGGAAGAAAAUGACGGUACCUGACCCAGAAGCCCCGGCUAACUACGUGCCAGCAGCCGCGGUACUACGUAGGGGGCAAGCGUUAUCCGGAUUUACUGGGUGUAAAGGGAGCGUAGACGGCAGGGCAAGUCUGGAGUGAAAGGCGGGGGCUCAACCCCCGGACUGCUCUGGAAACUGCCAGGCUGGAGUGCAGGAGAGGUAAGUGGAAUUCCUAGUGUAGCGGUGAAAUGCGUAGAUAUUAGGAGGAACACCAGUGGCGAAGGCGGCUUACUGGACUGUAACUGACGUUGAGGCUCGAAAGCGUGGGGAGCAAACAGGAUUAGAUACCCGGGUAGUC
rnacentral:rRNA from 1 species